rnacentral:rRNA from 1 species
AGUGAACGCUGGCGGUAGGCCUAACACAUGCAGGUCGAACGGCAGCACAGGAGAGCUUGCUCUCUGGGUGGCGAGUGGCGGACGGGUGAGGAAUACAUCGGAAUCUACACUGUCGUGGGGGAUAACGUAGGGAAACUUACGCUAAUACCGCAUACGACCUACGGGUGAAAGCAGGGGAUCUUCGGACCUUGCGCGAGUGAAUGAGCCGAUGUCGGAUUAGCUAGUUGGCGGGGUAAAGGCCCACCAAGGCGACGAUCCGUAGCUGGUCUGAGAGGAUGAUCAGCCACACUGGAACUGAGACACGGUCCAGACUCCUACGGGAGGCAGCAGUGGGGAAUAUUGGACAAUGGGCGCAAGCCUGAUCCAGCCAUACCGCGUGGGUGAAGAAGGCCUUCGGGUUGUAAAGCCCUUUUGUUGGGAAAGAAAUCCAGCUGGCUAAUACCCGGUUGGGAUGACGGUGCCCAAAGAAUAAGCACCGGCUAACUUCGUGCCAGCAGCCGCCGUAA